rnacentral:miRNA from 1 species
UGUGUUCCCAAGUCGCCCCUG